rnacentral:rRNA from 1 species
UGGUGGGUUGAUUUGUCUGGUUAAUUCCGUUAACGAAUGAGACCUUAACCUGCUACAUAGCUAUCAGGCGGGCAAGUUCUUAGAGGGGCUUUGUUUGUCUAACGCAAGGAAGUUUGAGGCAAUAACA